rnacentral:rRNA from 1 species
UGGGGAAUGGCUAGGUUCGGGCGCCGAAGAAGGCCGUGCCAAGCUGCGAAAUGCGUCGGGUAGGUGCAAGGAGCCUUUGAUCCGACGAUUGCUGAAUGGGACUUCCUAUACUUCGGUAUAACCAGUAAUGGUAGGGAACGCGGGGGAUUGAAGCAUCCUAGUACCCGCAGGAAAAGAAAUCAAUUGAGAUGCCGUUAUUAAAGGCGAUCGAAAACGGCAUAGGGCAAACCGAAUCCCCUUCCGACGAGGAUGGGGAGAUGUGGAGUUCGGACCCUGUAUGCUCUCGCUCGUAAACCCGAAGUCCGCUGGAACGCGGCGCAAUAUAGGGUGAUAGCCCCGUAGGGAUAAACGAGAAGUGCUUAGCAGGGUAUCCAGAGUACCGCGCGUUGGAUAUCGCGCGCGAAUUUGGGAGGCACAGACUUCCAACCCUAAAUACGUCCCGAGACCGAUAGCGCAAUAGUAGCGUGAGCGAAAGCUGAAAAGUACACCUGACGGAGGGUAAAAAGAGCCUGAAAUCAGACAGCAACAGCCUUAUACGGCAUGAAAGCGACGAAGCGCCGCAGGGCGUGGAGCAGUGUCGUAUUAAUCGUUUUGAAAAACGAGCCAGGGAGUUCUGAUCAAUGGCGAGGUUAAGCGUCACAUACGCGAAGCCGCAGGGAAACCAAACGUCCGCAACACCGCAAGGUGCGAGGGACUAGGUGGGCUCGCCUGUAGUCAUUGGUGGGAGACCCGAAGCCGGUCGAUCUAUGCGUGGGUAGGUUGAAGCCUCCUGAAAAGGAGGUGGAGGACCGAACCAGUGCUGACGUGCAAAUCGCUUGGAUAACCUAUGCAUAGGGGUGAAAGGUCAAUCUAGGCCGGGAAUAGCUGGUUCCUCUCGAAACUUCUCGCAGGAAGACCUCGGUGGAGGCAGAUUGUGCGGUAGAGCUACCGAUUGGGUGCUUAGGGGCCGAAAGGCCUCGGCAUCCUGCCGAACUCCAAACGUGCAAUCACCUGAGAAGCCGGGAUUGAGGGCAUCAGGGGUAAGCUCGAUGUCCGUAAGGGAAUCAACCCAGCCCAGUGUUAAGGCCCCAAAGUGCCGACUAAGUGUUACAAGAAAGGCGUCCGUGGUCGCAAACAACUAGGAGGUGGGCUUAGAAGCAGCCACCCUUUAAAGAAAGCGUAACAGCUCACUAGUCGAGAUCACGGGCCCUGAAAAUGGACGGGGCUAAGUCGGCCGCCGAUACAUUGGAACGCCGCAAUGCGAUUUUGUAGAGAGGUGUCGUGCGCGGGUAGAAGUUGGGCCGUGAGGUCCAGUGGACCGCGUUCGAAUAAGGAUCCUGGUAGGAGUAGUAGCAAAGAACACGGUGAGAAACCGUUCCGCCGAAAGGGCCCGGGUUCCUCGACAAUGAUCGUCAGUCGAGGGUUAGUCGAUCCUAAGCUAGACCUUAAUCGGAACUAGCGAAAGGGAAGCAGGUUAAUAUUCCUGCACCAUUAGCGAAUUUGCUCGUGAGUGGACACAUCGGGGUAUGCCGUACAGGGGCGUCAUACCUGUCCGCCGCGUCGAACCCCAGGAAGAAUCGUAAUGAUGAGAACUGGGCCAUGAUGCGGCGGGGCCGGCGUAGCCCGGCUUUGGCCGAUCCCUGGUGUCAGUGAAAAGACUCACGAUAACAACGCUUUUGUUCGUACCAAGAUCCGACACAGGUGCCCCUAGGUGAGAAGCCUAAGGCGUGUCGGCAUAAUUAACGCGAGGGAACUCGGCAAAUUAGCCCCGUAACUUCGGGAGAAGGGGUGCCAGCCGCGAAAGCGUCUGGUCGCAGUGACGAGGGAGCUCCGACUGUUUAAUAAAAACACAGAUCGCAGCGAGUCCGAAAGGAUGUGUAUUGCGGUUGAAACCUGCCCAGUGCUGGUACCUGAAAACCGGGUCCAACCGGGCGAAGGGCCAGUAAACGGCGGGGGUAACUAUGACCCUCUUAAGGUAGCGUAAUACCUUGUCGCUUAAUUGGCGACUUGCAUGAAGGUCCAACGAGAGCUCUACUGUCCCCGCGUUGAAGCCGACGAAACUGACGUACCGCGUGCACUGUCCGGUACCUUCCACCUGAAAGCGAAGACCCCGUGGAGCUUUACUGCAGCCUGUCGUUGUGCUACGGUAUUGAUUGUGUAGAGUAGGCAGGAGACGUUACCCAGGAGCGGGCGCCAGUCCGCCUCCGAGUCGCCGAUGAAACACUGCCCUCUCGAUACUGUAGCACUAACCUCUAAGGAGGAACACCGGUAGGUGGGCAGUUUGGGUGGGGCGCCACGCCCUCGAAAAUCUAACAAGGGCGCCCAAUGGUCAGCUCAGGUAGGUCAGAAAUCUACCGUUGAGUGCAAAGGCAAAAGCUGGCUUGACGUGGAUUAGCUCAACAAUAAUCCACGAUACGAAAGUAGGGCUUAGCGAACCAAUCAGCCUCAUUUGUGGGGGCGAUUGAUUACAGAAAAGUUACCCCGGGGAUAAUUGAGUUGUCCCCAGCAAGAGUUCAUUCCGACUAGGGAUCUGUGACAGAUACCCUGCCGGGAACGUAUCGACCUGGGGGCUUGCUACUUCGAUGUCGGUUCUCUCUAUCCUGGUGGUGCAUUAGCUGCCAAGGGUGGGGUUGUUCGCCCAUUAAAAGGGAUCGUGAGCUGGGUUUACACCGUCGUGAGACAGGUGUGUUGCUUUUUGGUGGAAGCGCAUUGGUGCCUGAGGGGAAGGUCCCUUUAGUACGAGAGGAACGGGGGAUCGCAGCCGCUAGUGUAUCAGUUGUCUGGCAAGGCAUUGCUGAGCAGCCACGCUGCAGUGGAUAAGAGCUGAAAGCAUCUAAGCUCGAAGCCACCCCUAAGACGAGGCACCUUAGACGCCCGUAAAUGACGGGUUCGAUAGAGUCGGGGUGUAAGUGC